AUUGAACGCUGGCGGCAGGCCUAACACAUGCAAGUCGGACGGUAGCACAGGGGAGCUUGCUCCUCGGGUGACGAGUGGCGGACGGGUGAGUAAUGUCUGGGGAUCUGCCCGAUAGAGGGGGAUAACCACUGGAAACGGUGGCUAAUACCGCAUAAUGUCGCAAGACCAAAGAGGGGGACCUUCGGGCCUCUCACUAUCGGAUGAACCCAGAUGGGAUUAGCUAGUAGGCGGGGUAACGGCCCACCUAGGCGACGAUCCCUAGCUGGUCUGAGAGGAUGACCAGCCACACUGGAACGGGGACACGGUCCAGACUCCUACGGGAGGCAGCAGUGGGGAAUAUUGCACAAUGGGCGCAAGCCUGAUGCAGCCAUGCCGCGUGUAUGAAGAAGGCCUUCGGGUUGUAAAGUACUUUCAGCGGGGAGGAAGGCGAUGUGGUUAAUAACCGCGUCGAUUGACGUUACCCGCAGAAGAAGCACCGGCUAACUCCGUGCCAGCAGCAGCCGCCG
rnacentral:rRNA from 1 species